rnacentral:rRNA from 1 species
CCUACGGGGGGCAGCAGUGAGGAAUAUUGGUCAAUGGCCGGAAGGCUGAACCAGCCAAGUCGCGUGAGGGAAUAAGGCCCUAUGGGUCGUAAACCUCUUUUGUCAGGGAGCAAAGGCGUCCACGUGUGGACGAGAGGAGAGUACCUGAAGAAAAAGCAUCGGCUAACUACGUGCCAGCAGCCGCGGUAAUACGUAGGGGGCAAGCGUUAUCCGGAUUUACUGGGUGUAAAGGGAGCGUAGACGGCUGUGCAAGUCUGAAGUGAAAGCCCGUGGCUCAACCGCGGAACUGCUUUGGAAACUGUAUAGCUUGAGUACUGGAGAGGCAGGCGGAAUUCCUAGUGUAGCGGUGAAAUGCGUAGAUAUUAGGAGGAACACCAGUGGCGAAGGCGGCCUGCUGGACAGAAACUGACGUUGAGGCUCGAAAGCGUGGGGAGCAAACAGGAUUAGAUACCCGAGUAGUC